rnacentral:rRNA from 1 species
CCACAGAAAAAGUCCCGGCUAACUUCGUGCCAGCAGCCGCGGUAAUACGAAGGGGGCAAGCGUUACUCGGAAUUAUUGGGCGUAAAGCGUGCGUAGGCGGUUUUAUAAGUUGAAAGUGAAAGCCUUUGGCUCAACCAAAGAAUUGCUUACAAAACUGUAAAACUAGAGUAUUAGAGAGGAUAGAAGAAUUCCUGAUGUAGGGGUGAAAUCCGUAGAUAUCAGGAGGAAUAUCGAAGGCGAAAGCAUCUGUCUGGCUAAAUACUGACGCUGUUGCACGAAAGCGUGGGGAGCAAACAGGAUUAGAUACCCUGGUAGUCCACGCAGUAAACGAUGAGUGCUAGAUGUUAGAACUAUGUUUUAGCGUCGAAGCUAACGCAUUAAGCACUCCGCCUGGGAACUACGAUCGCAAGGUUAAAACUCAAAGGAAAUUGACGGAAAUCACCGAAUUCUGGA